AACGAACGCUGGCGGCAGGCCUAACACAUGCAAGUCGAGCGAAGCCUUCGGGUUUAGCGGCGGACGGGUGAGUAACGCGUGGGAAUAUGCCCUUCUCUACGGAAUAGCCCUGGGAAACUGGGAGUAAUACCGUAUACGCCCUACGGGGGAAAGAUUUAUCGGAGAAGGACUAGCCCGCGUUGGAUUAGGUAGUUGGUGGGGUAAUGGCCUACCAAGCCUACGAUCCAUAGCUGGUUUGAGAGGAUGAUCAGCCACACUGGGACUGAGACACGGCCCAGACUCCUACGGGAGGCAGCAGUGGGGAAUCUUAGACAAUGGGGGCAACCCUGAUCUAGCCAUGCCGCGUGAGUGAUGAAGGCCUUAGGGUUGUAAAGCUCUUUCAGCUGGGAAGAUAAUGACGGUACCAGCAGAAGAAGCCCCGGCUAACUCCGUGCCAGCCGCCGCCGCAGUAA
rnacentral:rRNA from 1 species